AGAGGGACAGCAGUGAGCCUCCUGCUGCUCUCUCUAGCUAGAAGGGCGAGGCAGACCCGUGAAGGGGCGGGAGGUUUAGACGCCUCUGCCCGCAGGACUCGCGACUCCAGAGUAGCUCAGGGCAGCUGCCAGGAGGUCGGCAAUGCCUGAGGCUAGGGAAUCCCCGGGAGAGCCCUGAGCGCCACCUGCACCGCCUAGGAAGGACCGCCCGAAGUUAGCCCCAGGGGUUCAGAGAAGCUCCCUUCUCGACAACUAUGGCUGGCAAUUCCAGGAACGCUAUGAGCAAAGACAUGGAGAUAGGAGUCACUUUCCAGGACCACAAGAAGAUUCCCAAGCAGGCACGGGAUUACACACCGAUCGCCACAGACCGCACUCGCCUGCUGGCAGAAGGCAAAAAGCCGCGUCAGCGCUACAUGGAGAAGAGUGGCAAGUGCAACGUGCAUCACGGCAAUGUUCAGGAAACCUACCGCUACCUAAGUGACCUCUUCACCACCCUGGUGGACCUCAAGUGGCGCUUCAACCUUCUGGUCUUCACCAUGGUCUACACUAUCACAUGGCUGUUCUUUGGCUUCAUCUGGUGGCUCAUUGCUUAUGUCCGAGGUGAUCUGGACCAUGUGGGUGACCAAGAGUGGAUUCCUUGUGUUGAAAACCUCAGUGGCUUUGUGUCUGCUUUCCUGUUCUCCAUUGAGACAGAGACAACCAUUGGCUAUGGCUUCAGAGUCAUCACUGAGAAGUGUCCGGAGGGGAUCAUACUCCUCCUGGUGCAGGCCAUUCUGGGCUCUAUCGUUAAUGCCUUCAUGGUGGGUUGCAUGUUUGUGAAGAUCAGCCAGCCAAAGAAGAGAGCAGAGACCCUCAUGUUUUCCAACAAUGCUGUCAUCUCCAUGCGGGAUGAGAAGCUGUGCCUCAUGUUCCGGGUAGGUGACCUCCGAAACUCCCACAUCGUGGAGGCCUCCAUUCGUGCCAAGCUAAUCAAAUCCCGGCAGACCAAAGAAGGGGAGUUCAUCCCCUUGAACCAGACAGACAUUAAUGUGGGCUUUGACACUGGUGAUGACCGUCUCUUCCUGGUGUCCCCGCUCAUCAUCUCCCAUGAGAUCAAUGAGAAGAGCCCUUUCUGGGAGAUGUCGCGUGCUCAGCUGGAACAGGAAGAGUUUGAAGUUGUGGUCAUCUUAGAAGGAAUGGUAGAAGCAACAGGCAUGACUUGCCAAGCACGAAGCUCUUACAUGGACACGGAGGUGCUCUGGGGCCACCGAUUCACACCAGUCCUCACCUUGGAAAAAGGCUUUUAUGAGGUGGACUACAACACCUUCCACGACACCUAUGAGACCAACACACCCAGCUGCUGUGCCAAGGAGCUGGCAGAAAUGAAGCGGAACGGGCGGCUCCUGCAGUACCUUCCCAGCCCUCCCUUGCUUGGGGGGUGUGCUGAGGCUGGGCGAGAUGCCGAGGCUGAGCAGGAUGAAGGGGACGAACCCAAUGGACUGAGUGUGUCCCGGGCGACCAGGGGCUCAAUGUGAGGUCUGCGUUCUACCCAGAGCCUCUUCUUACCAGACACCGAGGAGCCUGGGCGGCCGGAGAGGCCAAUUAGUUGAGCAAGCUUUGUGGGGCCCCAGGAGCAUGGGAGCUCUAUGGAGAGGAACAGCGUGCUGAGCCCUCACGGCUCCUCUUCGGGGCCUCUGAGCAAGGGGCCUUGUCUAGCCUUCACAGACAGUGCUUUCUAGGCCUCGGUGAGUGGGAGCAUUAGCUAAGGCUGUAGCCAGGGUGGGGUUCCCAGAGAGAGAGUUUUAGGGUUCCAUCUACCCUCUCUCUGAUUACUGGCACCUGUUCACUUCCCUCCCGGAUUUUGUCUCCUCUAGGGACCGACAACAUCACCCCUGAUUCUUACCACUGAGGCCUGUAGAUUGAGGGAGCGCAAUUCUGUCCAUGGACGCUCAGGCCCACAGCUGGGGAUGAGUUCACAGAGGCCUCCUCCCAGGCCAAAGCUACCCAAGUCAGGGACAAUGCCUUUUAGUCUGAGGCCACAGCCACUCACUAAUAACUUCUUUGCAAGGCCCCUUGUUCACCUCUGUUACUUCCUAGUGCGUGCGUGUGUUUUCCUCUUCUAUCUUGUGUGGACACUACGGCUUACAGGGUAAUUGAGUUCAUUAGCGUGACCCGGGACACUGACAAUGGACCUAGGAGCAUACACAAUGCUGUCCUCGCAACUGCCUGGGACUCCUAGUCAUACUGUGCCUUGCACUUCAAAGCGGGGAAUCCCAGCAGUUGUGCUUCUGGUAGGACUUUGUGGUCCAAGAACUUCAAAGAACCUGUGAAGCGGUCCUGAACACGUGAAUUUCAGAGAGCCAGAUGAACUCAUUGGUACCAACCCAGGGCGGCCGCGGGGAAAGGAAGCGAGGAAUGUUUUAAUAGAGGAAUUUGGAGCCUGGUGGACGGAUGCAUCCUAGCACUUGGCAGGCGGAGGCAGAAUUGUGAAGCUGAGGCCAGCCUGGGCUAUACACCCGUCUCCAAAAGGCAAGAGAGAAAAACUAACAAAGAAGGAAACGUCUGCCUCAGCUGUUGCUUGGGGGCUCCCAGGAGGAAAGUGGACUACGACACAGAGGUGACAGGUGGCCAAGGGUGGACCAGAGUCUUAGAUUGGUACCCAGAGGCCUCUGGACCUCCCUCCUACAGAACAGCUCCAACAUGGUGGCGGGACCCAGAAGGUAGUCCCUGAGAACAGGAGGUGAGAAAGUCGGCAGGAGAACCAGGAAAAGAAGAGCCCGAGAGCAGAGAAGAGCCUUGAGGUCAACAGUCUUGGAAUCUUUUCCCUUCCAGCCUGGAGGACUGAUUGAUGGUCAGGUCAAAGAAUCUUAAGUAAGAAAAAUAAGCUGGGCCCGGUCUUGGAGAGAUGUUGACACGCUCCCCCACACCUCUAACACAGUCCACACCCGAGUGUCCAUAGUUCUCAACCAGCCUUUGAAAAGAGAAGCACUUUCCUGUCAGGCCCUGGAACACUUUCCCUGGGAUCUACAAGGAGAAGCUAAGGGAGCCAAAGGAACAGCUUCUGGACCUCAGGCCUUUUCCCCCUCAGACUAGGUUCCCAGGUCCCUGGGCUGAUGAGGAGAAAGUGGCCUGAGAUGAACAGUUAUACUCGUUAGCGGCCCCCACAUAGAAGAGGGGAUUCUUUACUUGGCACCUGAACUAAAUCUUGAGAAAUGGUAGGCAGUGAGGGGUGUGUGUGUGUGUGUGUGUAUGUGUGUGUGUGUGUGUGUGUGUUGUGUGUGUCUGUGCACGUGUGUGAGUGUGUGUGUGUGUGUGUGUGUGUGUGUGUGUGUGUGUGUGUGUGGUGGUCCAGUCCCACAGUGAUAAGGUACCAGUUAUGGUCUCAAGCAUCUUUCUAUGUGAAGCAGGUCUAGCAGGGCAUGAGAAAAGAGAUGCCAUCCCCACUCAGGGAAGAAACCCAGCAGGUUCGCAGCACCCAGUAGGUAAGCUGCAAUCAGGAAUCUAGGGAGGGAGCCUGCUGUUAAGCCUGGGUGUCUGGGGUAACAGGAAAUGCAGCAACUGUCACGAGAGACGGGCACUUGGCCUGGCUUUCCACACGCCAGGCCUUCACAGGCAGGACCAGCUCUUCUCCUGGGCAGGCCUUGAAUCCUGUCUCGGUCAGGACCCACAGUGAGCCGAGUAGGCAAGGAUAAGAGGCAGCAGCGAAUGACUGUCUCAGGGCUCGGCGGUGGGCUGGCUCCUGUUGCACACUUGCCUUAUCUGUGUUUCUGAAACACUCCCCAACUGGCCAGGAGAGACCAGUGGUCUGGGGGAGUCAGGGCACUGCUGUGCCAAUGAGAAGCUGUAGAAGGUAUCAAAGAGUGGGCACACUCCUUAAGAUCCCCUCAAGCCAGAGCUGAUCUGUACUGGAAUUAGGUAGAUACUAACCUCAUUCAGGUUUCUAUCAUGGUGACCUAAAUGUGAGGGGACUGCCCUUCACAUCUCAAGGACAUAUCCAUCUUCACGGACAGUUGAAGUUCACCAAAUUCUUCAAAUCAUUUUCUGGAAGUUCUUGACUAAUAAAUUUAAAACAUGGGUUUAUAAUUUAA